rnacentral:rRNA from 1 species
AAGGUUUCCGUAGGUGAACCUGCGGAAGGAUCAUUACUGAUUUGCUUAAUUGCACCACAUGUGUUUUUCUUUGAAACAAACUUGCUUUGGCGGUGGGCCCAGCCUGCCGCCAGAGGUCUAAACUUACAACCAAUUUUUUAUCAACUUGUCACACCA